ensembl:lncRNA
AAUUUGGUUAUGGCAAAUCAUUUUAAGUUAGAUAUGGUUCAUUUUUCCUAUAGAACUGCAUGUCACAGAUGAUUAGUUCAAGGAUUACUGAAAAGUUGACAAUUCAGUUGUUUUUGUUCAUUUUUUUACUUUCUGCCUGAUAAAUGGUGUAAAUUUUGCAAUUUAAAAAAAAAGAUGUCAUGCGUGUCAUGCUGCUAGGGUUUGAGGUUUCACUGGGUUCAUCUAUCAGAGUGAUGAAACACUCAGGUUGGAAGUCAUGGAGCUUUACAUCAGGACCACAGCUCAUAGACAUGGUUAAUAUAUCGUGCUGUGAGACCUCAGUCUGGCCUUUGCCGUGGUUGACCGUGCUAUUUUAAUUAACUGCCGAGGGCUUUGGCUUUUCGUCAGUUGUUUUUUGUAGCAUCCAUUCAGAACUCCCUCUGUGUUUCAUCUAGAACAGAGUCAGACAAAAAUAAGCUGUCGAAGGUUAAACCCCCUGCAAAGAGACUGACUUGGCUCAGUUAGCGUUGUUGGCUGCAUUCAGCUCACACCGUUGGGGUUUUGGGUAUCUGCUAACACAGGAAACGAAGAUGUGUCCACUGAGGCGAAGCCUAAAUCAGAAAGUAAGCGCUGCAGAUUUCCCAGCUGACUCUCAAGCUCAGUGUUAUGACUGCUGAUAGAGUUAGCCUAGCGAACAUAAUACACUAUUUUUACAGAUAAUGUUAAAAAUUAUUACCAUGUUUGCAUAACAUAUUUUUGUAUGUUUUCUGUUUGAACAAACUGUACAACAAAACAGUGACACUUAUUCUGUGCUUUUCCUCCAGGAGAAGUUGAAGGUUCCUGGUUUUACUUGAACAGCUGGAGCGUCGAGUUGCCAGACAGCAGCAACCUCUGCAUGUGAAGGUCCAGAACCGAGGAACAAUUCCCUGUGCAAAGCUGGUGGCUUCACCUCCAUCUGAGUGAAGAACUCCACCAUCUGUAUGUCUUUCUGCUUAGUGUGACAUAAAAACAAGUUAAGGGAAAGAGAAAUAGACUUACAUCAUAUCUUUAUAUCACACUGUUUUGUUUCCAUAUGGACUGAGACAUUCAUCUCCAUUGGGAUCUUAUUUGAAUCAUGAUGCUGACAUGAGCCUAAGAGUCCUGUUAGUUUACUGAUGAAACGUUAAGUAAAUCAAACCAAUUUUAGAAGCACUUUCAACGUUCACCCUGAAAGAAUUCUGCUUGAGGUUUGUGGAGACAUUAAGAACAUCUGGUUUCCCUCUCAGGGAGGUUUGUUCUGAAUCACACAAAUUAAAUGGCUGGAAGUAUUUGAGUUCUCCUGUGGUUAGCUGGAUCUUUGUGUUAUUGUUGUAUAACAAAUCCACCACAAAGCAGCGAGAAGAGCGUCAGGCUGCAUCAGGUGAAGAGGCGAAGCUGUGGUUUGGGAUCCAGAAGUUUGCUGGAAAUUUGGUGGGUUUUUUUAUGAUCAUAGUAUCAAGAGUGUUUGUCCUGAAGGUUGGAUGGAUUCCAGCAUCACUGUUAUUACAACAACUAUGAAUGUCUGACCUGAAACUGAUGCCAUAACUGGAACUGCAGUGUAUCCCAUAUCAAAAUUCAGUUUCCAAGCAAUUAGAUUUCUUAAAGAACUGACUCUGCUGCUUCCCAUAUUGUUGGUUGUUAAAAAAAAAAAAAAAGGAACAAAAAUGUUUGCAAGUGUUUCACAAUAGUGAGAACACUGUAACCAGAAACAUGAAACAACUGCAGUGCAAACAUGCGCCGUUUGUCCACCCUACUGGCUUAUUGGGUGAGUGUUUCUGACAUUAUUCUGCUAUUCUUUCAUGUGUACUGAUACCAUUACAACACUGAAACAUUACAUCCA